rnacentral:rRNA from 1 species
GGCGAACGGGUGAGUAACACGUGAGCAACCUGCCCUAGGCUUUGGGAUAACCCCGGGAAACCGGGGCUAAUACCGAAUAGGACCUGGCCUUGCAUGAGGCUGGGUGGAAAGUUUUUCGGCCUGGGAUGGGCUCGCGGCCUAUCAGCUUGUUGGUGGGGUGAUGGCCUACCAAGGCGACGACGGGUAGCCGGCCUGAGAGGGCGACCGGCCACACUGGGACUGAGACACGGCCCAGACUCCUACGGGAGGCAGCAGUGGGGAAUAUUGCACAAUGGGCGGAAGCCUGAUGCAGCGACGCCGCGUGAGGGAUGACGGCCUUCGGGUUGUAAACCUCUUUCAGCAGGGACGAAGCGUAAGUGACGGUACCUGCAGAAGAAGCACCGGCCAACUACGUGCCAGCAGCCGCGGUAAGACGUAGGGUGCGAGCGUUGUCCGGAUUUAUUGGGCGUAAAGAGCUCGUAGGCGGCUUGUCGCGUCGACUGUGAAAACCCGCAGCUCAACUGCGGGCCUGCAGUCGAUACGGGCAGGCUAGAGUUCGGUAGGGGAGACUGGAAUUCCUGGUGUAGCGGUGAAAUGCGCAGAUAUCAGGAGGAACACCGGUGGCGAAGGCGGGUCUCUGGGCCGAUACUGACGCUGAGGA